GUUCUCGAUGGCACAGUCGGAUAGAGCGACUGCCGUGUAAGCAGGAGAUCCCGGGUUCGAGUCCCGGUCGGGACA